ACGCGGAGUGGGGGAAAAAAUUGAUAUAUGCCCAUAUACUGGCCUGACAUAUGGGACCUGGUGAACGGAAGUUUCGACGUCGUCGGCGGAGAGAGCCCCGAGCCGUGGCUCGAGAUGUCGCCAGAGUCCUGAUCCGUGGCCCAGAUCACCGGGUUCCGGUAGCACCGUCAGAGUACGCAGUAAAUGCGUUUAGGUUGGCCGCUUGGUGCUUGGGCAGAUAAGUCGGGUUAGGUAUUCUUCCCAGGCGGCGGGACGGCGGCGAAAUCUACUGCGCCGACGGUGGCUGCGCUAUCCAGGAAGCUCGGAAGUUCACCGGCGGGCAUGGAGUUCCUGAUGCAACCUAUAAACAGAACACUGCUAGAGGAGGUGAACGAAAAUAACAGCAAUAUGGAGCCGAUGCGGUUCCCGGUGAGCGCGCCGACAGAGGUUCAGCUGCCAGCCCAGGCAGCUUCAAGUGCGGACGGCCAGAACUGCCCUGAAGACGCCGCUGCAGAGGCAAGAAGUGCAAGCAAGGCUCAGUGUUCAGAGCAAUUGAUAGAACAGUUGGACCCAAAAACCCCAGGCUGGACACAAAGAGUGUGUGUGGGUGCUGCUGCUCCAGGCAGGGCUCCUCGUGCAGACAGGGUGACAGCGUUCGAAAAGACCGUUCGGCAAUUUGCAGAGGAUCCAGGGGACAUUGUCAUAGUUCCAAAAGAUAGGAAAAAGUUUCGACAGUUUUGGUGAAGCCUACGACUUUUAAAAUUAUAUUCGUGAGAGAAAGGAUUUGGCAUUAGAUAUGGAAAGAGCAGGCUGAAUGUGAACUGGACGAAGUGCAUGCAAGAGAUAGUGUGUGGAUGUGCGGGGAAGCCAAUCGUUGAAAAUACACGGUCUUGUCGCUGUCAAUGUCCGGCACUCAUAAGACUGUUGUGCUCCAAGGAUAAUGGGUGGUACAUAGCUGAGCAUCAGGAUAUGCACAACCAUGCAUUGUCGCACACGUAUGGACAGACACUGUGUUGGUCAUCACACAAACAUAUUGAUCAGUACAGUAGGAACCUUGUGAAGCAGCUAAGUCAAAAUAAUGUCAAUCUUGCCAAGGUGUACAGCAUUAUCAGUAGCUUAUUUAGGAAGAUGGAGAAUGUACCUUUCACGAAGAGAGCUUUGCGGGAAUCUGUGCAGAAAGAUAAGCCGUGGUCAGUCCGAGGAUGAUGUGAGGAAAACAAUGGAAGUAUUUCAGAGCUGUGUGCAAAGGACCCGCAGUUCACAUAUCGAGUUCAAGCUGACAAUGAGGGCAGAAUCAGCACUCUGAUGUGGGCUACUGGCAACAGCCGGCUGCAAUACAGUUUCUUUGGUGAUGUUGUUACAUUUGAUACAACCUACCGGGCGAACCUCUAUGACAUGCCUUUUGGUUUAUUUGAGGGGGUGAACAAUCACUUUCAGAGCAUUAUCCUUGCGGGAGUGUUGGUUCAAAGUGAGACAGUUGAAACAUUUGAGUUAUUAGGAUAAUGGGUGGCAAUGCACCACAAACAAUCCUGACAGGGUUAUGGAGGUUGCCAUAAAGAAUGUGAUGCCUGGCAAGCUCACCGAUGGUGCAAGUGGCAUGUGCGAAAGAAGGCAAAAGAGUCACUUGGUCUGUUGUACUAAAAAAAUAGUGAUUUCCGUCCAGAGUACCACAAGGUUGUUAAUCACAUGUUAACCAUAGAUGAGUUUGAGGAAGGCUGGAAGUACCUCAUAGAGAAAUACAACCUGAAGAGCCACGAUUAUAUGACAAAUUUGUACGAGAUAAGGCCCAAGUGUGUGAAGCCAUACUUCAAGGGAGUCUUCUGUGCAAAGAUGAGUAGUACGCAACGGAAUGAAAGUGCUAACUACAUGCUGAAGAACUAUGUGCCUCCUGGAAGCCCAAUGCAUAUCUUUGUCAGGAAGUAUAUGAGCUUAAUAUUUGACCGGGAAGCAGAAGAGAAUUAUGAGGAGAAGCGGACAACAAUAGGGAGGCCACUAAUGCGAGCAAAUUUGGCUACCGAGAGGCAUGCUGGGAAAAUAUACACUGGGGCUAUGUUCGAGCAAUUCGGACAUAUAUUGUAUGAGUGUGGUGCAUAUCAGGUGGAGGAGAUCGAUAAAGGUAAAAACUGUGUUGCAAUACAUAAAGAUGCAGCACGGAGAGAAAAGUGGUGUAAAACUUCAUACAAAGUAACAAUUAUGGAAGGAGGUGAUGAAUUUGUCUGUCAGUGUGGGCAGUUUGCACACAUGGGGCUGCUGUGCAGCCACAUCCUAAAGGUGUUGGAGGGUGGCGAGUGUGUACAAAUGGGGGUUGCGUCCAACCACAUGGAGUAGCUCACAACCAUUCAAAGGUGUGAGAGUCCUAAUGGCAGAUUCAGAAGGGUCUGAGGCUGCAUCUUCCUUGACCGGGACUAAAGAAUGCUCAGAGGCGUGCUAUGGUCUGAAUCAGGUACGUUGCCUGUGCUGAUUCCUCACUGAAUGCACGUCUUCCUCGCCAUAUUGAGGCAAAAAAUUGCUGUUCAUUGCAGGAAAAUUGCAAGAGGCUGUGUUGGAUCCCCAACUAUAAAGAGGAUGGACGAGGAGAAGUGCUGGAGAAGAUUGGGACCUGCCAACCGUGGGGCCAUAAAUGAGCACAACGGCUCAGUUGGAACAUAAUGUACUACGAUGGAACGGUCCAAUCCGUCAUCCUCCGUCUGAUCCGUCACGUUGCUAACUCACUGAGUGAACUGAGCAGUGGGCCAGGUCCUAUUUCGCUGAAAAGCAGGCAGGAGCAUAUACCUGAUACUAUACAGACUGCAGCACACAUCGCAAGAUAUAUAAAUGGUCCUGAUUCCGAGACCCUGUGAGCUCGGGCUCACAUAAGCAUUUUCGCGUUGCAUGCUACUUUUGUUUGGAAACUUGAGUAGAGAAAGCUUAGUAGAGGGUCGAUGUUGCAUCAGUAAAAUUAUAAUCAGGAGCAUGUUGAUUAAAUAUUUCAACCCUGGUGGAUUAACCAGUUUGUGAAUUGUAGAUUAUUUUGUUGCUGCAAAACAUGUGCAUAAUACUAAAUCUGUAUGUAUAUAUAUAUUUGAACAUCAUAACUUCUAAUAGUAGACAUUGUAAUUUGUAAGGCCGAUAUUUACACAUUUUAAUUAGUUUUUCAAUAUGGAAGUUUAUUUAUGGAUUAUGUUUUAAGUUUAUAUUUGAAGAAGAUAGUUUUUUCAUCAUGCUAAUACUUUUUAACAUAUUUAAUCAAGCAGAAGUGUUGAAAUUUAUUUUUUACAUGAGUAUAUUCUAAUUGAUUUGCAGUACUGAACGUAUCGGCAUUAUAUAUCAAUGUUUGAGAAGUAGGAAUUGCAAAAACGAAUUUAAGAGGGCGUACAUUUACUGGUUUUCUAAGUAUGAACUUACUAGUUGAGUUUGUAGACCAAGAUUUUUUGUAGAUAUAUAUCUAAAAACAUUAUAACUGAGCACUUUUCAGGCGCUCCCAGGACCCUAUCAGACCAUCAACAUUUUCAGCCGUUUGAUCUGGACUUGUGAGCAUUUUUGGUCAUUGGAUCAACCUCUGAUCACUGCAGUUUCCGCAAGUUGGCUCGGGCAGCUGCUCCCGUAACAAAACUGCAAUUCUGUGGUGAAUUGGGCCAACAUGGGCCUUUUGAAUGCUUCCUCGGGUGCGAUGAGGAAGAGCCGCUUCAGUCCCCCGCAUCUCUCUCCUUUCACGCGAAUCACAAGUUCAUGACCGCUGCGACCGCGUUCGCCCUAGGUCUCCUCGCCGCCAUGACGGUUUCCCCAUGUCCGAGGCUUCACUCAUAGACAUCUCCCUCCCGUCCGCCUCCUCCUCAUCCGAUCCGUCGCAUCACUGGGAAGAUUCUAUUUGGGACCGCAGUGUCAACGUACCAGGUGCGCAUGAAUAUCGAUGCCGGGAGGCCGAGGGCCUUCAUACAAAUUCCAGAUACUACUAUGUCGGUGGAGAUGAGAAGGCAGUGCAAGACGCAUCCCUAGAAGCUCCUUUUCAGCGGAUGCGGCGGCGAGAAGCGUCCAUAUUUCCGUGUCCACCUCCUUCCUCUGGUGGGUGCCUUAGGUGUCUUCUCUGCCCUGCCAAAGCCCAGAUCUGGCCGUGGUUGCCACUGGUCUUCCUUUUGAGAGACGAGACUGGAAGAGGUUGAUUCAUGCAAUAAGAAUCUUCCAAAGGCUCCGAGGUUAAUUUUUGUUAUGCGAUCUCUUAUGUGGUUAUGACUGAAUUUUCACAACAGUUACUUUUGUAAUUCAUGAUGUCAAGGUUUCCCCCAUAGCGAUGAAGAAAAACUUAACAAUCAGCAUUAAUCAAUGUUCUACCUGCACUUGCAUACUUACCAUCUUUGAUUGUCUGAACGAUAAGAUGAAAACUGUGUGAUGGGGCACAAUCAAGAUACCAUCUCUUGUGCAUUUUCUUUAGCGUAUUAGCAUAUAAAACCUCUUACGUCACGACGAACUCUAAAACAAUGAAUUGCGGCCCUGCUCUGUUACGAUUGCGUCGCCUGACCAUGGCCUCGGAUUGCAUCGGCGACUGCGCUAGGUUUGCACGGACGAGGCGUACAGCGCCUCUGUGGACCGUUCGGCCGCACGGACAUCAUUUGGUUGCACGGACGCUAGCGGCACAGCCGGAUGGGGCACAUACGCGAGCAGCACGGCCGGAUGGGGUGUGGCGGCCAACAGCCAUGAAGUUCAAUCGCAAACGAUGAUUGAUUGAGAGGUUAAUUGGCCAUUAAUGCCAAUUGAUGCUCCGGACAGGUCAGUUUCAUCGCCCAUUCAUAUUCAUGCCAAUUGAUUAAUUGAGAGGUUAAUCCUGCAUUCCAAAUGAUUAAUUGAGAGGUUAAUUGUGUCUCCAUAUAUUCAUGCGUGCCUAUAAAAUCCCAACCUUGCCGCUGCCCCUUUCCUACUCUGCUCAUUUUUGCAAACCAAUCUCCAGUACAAAAGCGAUGGGUGAUGCUUAGGUUCCACCUCUGUUUGGUUUCAAGGUGAUGUGCUGGUUCCAAUUCUCAGUUGUUCUCUACAUAUAUAUACUGAUAUGUUCUCUGUCUAAUUCUCAAUUUGAAAUGAUUACAGCUUCUCUCCAAGUAGGAAUUUUAGCUACGGACUGGUUGGUUUCUUUGGUUCUUUGAGCUGAUCCAAUGGCAAUUUUAGACGCCUGAUGUUAAGUCGGGCCCAGUGGGCUCUCUGUUGACUGUUGUAGCACUCUCCGUCUGGCAUUAAACCACGCCGCUCCUCCGUCCUUUCGUUAGCAAACCCUCUUGUGGCGUCCGAGGCAGGACGGGCACGGCGGCGCCCGUCCUGCGCCCCUGACCUCGAACAGCGGAGGCAACUGUGACUUGCCAGCUUGCCUUGUGUCCUGAUCAGUUCGUCUCAAUCGAUCUCCCUUCCUGUAACACAGGUGGUUGCCAUUGUUUGCUGGGGGUGUGCCGUGACCAUACAUGCCGGUUGACGUUGACGGCGUGCUUCCUUCCAGUAGCACUUCUCCUCAUAUUGAUCGCAUUUUGCUUGGGGUGCUCAUGCCUUUUGCCAUGCGCAGAGAUCAAAUCUGUUACAGGCACAUGCCAACAGAAAUAUCGUUAGCAAGACACGUAAGCAGGGGAUUAUGCAAAAGAAUAGUAAAACGUUUGUUGCAAGAAUUAUAUCCUGCUGAUGUGCUGCGUAUUAAAUUGUUUUUCUGCCUCUGAAAUAUUUCCUGCGUUAUUUCAGUCAAACACUCCCAAAGGAAAUUUAGGCUCAAUUGUAUUGUAUUGAGACACACAUAUUUCGUAGACUGUUAUAGCAAGAUUUAGAGAAAACAUUGGUGUGUCAAAUAUUCAUGAUAUUCCUUCAGUCAAUACUUACCCAUGUACAUGGCUCUGGUUUCCUAUAUAAAUAUCAAUAUUUGCCAUCACAUUUUGAUACACCAUAUCAGACUAAAAUGUAUCACCCGCAACAUUUCUGCCUUAGCAUGCAAAGUUAUAUG